AGGUUCCAGGGCCGCCGGGCUGCGGUUCCCGCCACUGCGCUGCUGACUGGUGACUUUCCCAGGCCGCCCCGCGCGGCGACUGCGGCUCCCGGGAGUUUCAGGUCCCGAAUACCCGGCCGGGUCUUUCUUAUGCAGUUCUGGACCUCUGUACUCCCAGAGUCAAACGGGGAAUGGUGAAAUUUCCUAGCACUUCAGCCUAGUUCUUUGGAGCGGCACCUCCUGAUCCCGCCCAAUACACCCCGCUUCCAGUCAUGCGUUUCCUCUAAACCCGCCUUCCGGGGCUCUUUUUCUUAAUUUACAACCUCUCCAGCGCCCCACCUAAACUCCAGUGAUCAGACAGGUGUCCCCGCCCAUUGGGGAUCUGUCCCUUCCACUCAGUCUCAGGCUGCCUUCUACAUAGCUCCAGCUGUCAGGCUGCCCUGGACCCUCUUUGCACAGUCUCCCCACAUGCUCGCUGCCAGCCUGAACUAGAACUGGAUCUAGGAGGACGCUGCACUCCGGUUUCUAACCCUGUGUUCUGACCCCAUGAGAUACAAAUUAUCCCACCUAGCUUUUCUUGGAAUAGCAGCCUCCCUGGAUUAAAAACGCACAGCAAAAGACAACACCCUAAAUUCUGAUUCUCAAAUUCCUUUCUCAACAUAACCCAUUCUCAAUAAAUUAAUAUAAACUAAGAUAAAAGGCAUUUGCCUCAAAUAACAAGCCAUAUCUGUAACCCCUAAGGAGAGCAAUUUAAACGAUAUCCAAUACACAGAACUCAAAAAGAUGAGUCAUGUUCAAGGAGGUAAAAGCAUAUAAAGCAUGGGAAUCAACUCAAACAGGAAAGGAACAAAAUGAUUCGUGGGCAAGAAAACACUAGCUAAUAAUGCCUGUAGGAAAUGAGGACAAUGAAGGUCAUGAAAAAUGAAUUCAUUAAAUAGUUAAGUACACAAAACAAAAAAUCCCAAACUGAAAUGAGACAAGAAAUGAAAAAUGCAAUAAGCCUAAUAAUAACUCAAAAAGGUCAAUCAGGUAGGAGACAGAAUAUUAGGCUUGAAACAAGGCAGAGGAGCUGGAUGGCUCAGUCAAAGAAAAUAAUAAAGGUUAAAGUGAAAUCCCAACUGCACAUUCUACUCUUAUAUGAAAUAUUCUAAAUUUUUGAAACAGUAACUUACUCUGGAGAGCUUUACUGAGAAGCUGGAUAAUCAUUUCCACCACUAUGCAAAUGAAGUCUCACUAAAAAGCCAUCUUUAUCCUUCACAGACCUCCACUAUUGCUGGUCAAAUAUCCAGAAUUACACUAUUAGCAAUAUUGACUUGGGGAAAGACAUUUGAAGAACCCAGGAUUUUGAAAGGAAAUGGAUAUCUCAGGAAGUCAGUGGUCAGUCAGUCCAUUAACAGCUAGUGCUGAAUUCAUCCUGCUUUCACUGAUAAAUGGUGAAGUUGUGGAUUUACUAACAGAAACAAGUUUGUCUCCUGGAAAGCAUGCUAAAGGUGCUUUUAUAUAAAGCAUAGAAAAUUCCUUUUGAAAACUCAGUGGUGAACGUAGAAACUUUUUGGCUGUCCAAGAUGCAGAAAAUAAGCAAUGUGUAUGGCCACAGCCCUAAACAAGUCAGUUACAGCAUGUCAUCUAUGGCUCUGGGAAUAUUGAGGAAGAGGAGGUGGGAAGGAAAUAGGGGAAGAGGGGGAUGGGCAUAACCUUCCAAUAUCUCCAGACUCCACACAACUAUAGUAAUCAGUAAUCCAGAGCAAAUGUAUUCAUCUGCACUGGCCUCACUCAAGACCAGCCAUAGCCACAAUCAGUUUAGGAAGGGGAGAGACUCACAGGACCCCAUCCUUUAUCUCUCAGCUGUGACUAUGGACAGAUUUUAGGAACGGAGAAUCACUGUCUUAAUUGUGUCUCCUCUCUGGAAUCUUCUGACACAUAAAAUCCCAAACCCACAUUUUCACAUAUGGUCCUGGUUAAUCUUGGUGGGUCAAAACCAAAAUGAAUAGAAGUGAACAUGAGGGAGAGACACAGAGAGAGAUUAGUUGGAACUAUGGAACAGGAUUAUAGGGAGUUGGGGAUGAGAGUGUGUAUAAUAAGAACUAUUCCAGGUAAACAUCAAAUAACAACAACAAUAAUAAUCUUAAUAAUUAAAAUGACCACAACAGUGUGCAAUUUCAUUUUCAUGUCUUUAUCUGGUUUGGAAUCAGGUAACACUAGCUUCAAAAAGAGUCUGGAAGCCUUUCCUUAUUUUUACAUCAAGGGAUACUUUAAGUAGCUUCAGUAUCAAUUAUUCUUUGAAAUUCUGACAUAAUUCUGUGAUGAAUCAAUCUACUUCUCUGUCUUUUUUUGAAUGAGGAGCAUUAAUUGCUGCUUCACUGUUGAUGCUGCUUAAUUAUCCAGUAUUUCAUGUUGGUGUAAUUUUGGUAUGUGUUAUAAAUCAGGAUAUUUACCCAUUUAUUUUAGAGUUUCCAAUAUAGUUGCUAGCAGUAUUUAAAGUCAGUAGGCAUCAGCUGCGCUUGUAUACUCACGUCUACUGAUUAGGCCUUGCAGUUAGUUGGGUACUUCUCUGCUGUGAGAUGUUCUGUAUGGCAAAUGUGCUGCUCUGAUUGGUUGGCAAAUAAAUCACUGAUUGGCCCGUGACCAGGCAGGAAGUAUAGGCGGGACAAGGAGGAGAAUAAAGCUGGGAAGUGGAAGGCUGAGUCAGAGAGACACUGCCAGCCGCCAUGAUGAGAAACAGCAUGUGAAGAUGCAGGUAAACCCACGAGCCAUGUGGCAAGGUAUAGGUUAAUGGAAAUGGAUUAAUUAAGCUGUAAGAACAGUUAGCAAGAAGCCUGCCACGGCCAUACAGUUUGUAACCAAUAUAAGUCUCUGUGUUUACUUGGUCGGGUUUGAGCGGCUGUGGGACUGGCAGGUGAGAGAGAUUUGUCCUGACUGUGGGCCAGGCAGGAAAACUCUAGCUACAAAUGGCGUCCAACGUGGUGGCAAGAGUUUCCACCUAAAAACUGAGAAAAAAGAUUCUAAAACGGAGCUAAAAACAGCUUCCUAAUUGUCUCUCUCAAAUGAGCGGCAGCUGUCGAUUUGAGCUACUGGUGGGUUCCUAGCGUGCACGCUCAACCUGCCUAUGGCGGGAGUGAGGCCUCUGCAAGUGGCACAUUAAGCUGCAUGGUGGAUUUAGCCUUUUCUAGUACAAAACAAAAAAAAAAAGAGGUUUCUGGGCUACACACUGCUUGGAUAAAAGCAUAGACCCACGAUAGCUCCCAGAGCUGGUGGUAAACCACCGCCAUGUUGAGAAGCUGAGGUGGGCGGAGCCAGCAGCCACAGCUGCUGCAGUUUAAGGCAAUAGAUUCACAAUAAGACAGAUUCAGAUGUAAUAGUUUACAAUGUGUGUAAAAUAUACAUAGGCUUGAAAGAGACAAAAAAGGUGAUAUAUACAGUUAUAUAAACAAAUACAUAGUUUUAAAAAAUAAAGUCUUUAAAGAGACAGUAAAAUUAAUAUAAAAUAAGCCACGUAAAGAUGAAUAUUACACAGAGAAUCUGGAUUGUGUUGUCUUUGGGAUUUUUAACUGCAGAAAAACAUUUGAUUGUAAAAGUUGUUGAGUUAUGCCAAAAUGUAUAUUUUAAAGGUACCUUGACUUCAAAGUUUGGAUAUAAGGAUAUGUUGCUUUGGAAAGGAGACUCUGCUUUUGUUUCCACAGAAAGCCAGAGGCUAUGGAUUUGUUCCAGAUUAAGAUACAUCAGGUUUGACCAGCCAAGACCCCCUGAAAGGUGUCCGAUGACACCAUGGCCCAGAUGAUCCAACAUCCAGAAUGGUUUCAAGGCAACUGGCUCAGACGAUAUACCCUCACGGACUACUCCAUAAUCCUAAAAUAUUCUUUGUGUCCCCAUAAGAUACAACGCCCCCCUCCAGCAGGAAGUAGUAAGAGAAGCUACGCCCAAAUUCCCAAAUUAUAUGUAAUUUUACUUUGUUAAAGUUAAAACCUUCCUUUUUGAAAAAAAAAAGGGGGGGGGGAAGUGCUGUGGGAUGUUCUGUAUGGCAAAUGUGCUGCUCUGAUUGGUUGGCAAAUAAAUCACUGAUUGGCCCGUGACCAGGCAGGAAGUAUAGGCGGGACAAGGAGGAGAAUAAAGCUGGGAAGUGGAAGGCUGAGUCAGAGAGACACUGCCAGCCGCCAUGAUGAGAAACAGCAUGUGAAGAUGCAGGUAAACCACGAGCCAUGUGGCAAGGUAUAGAUUAAUGGAAAUGGAUUAAUUAAGCUGUAAGAACAGUUAGCAAGAAGCCUGCCACGGCCAUACAGUUUGUAACCAAUAUAAAUGUCUGUGUUUACUUGGUCGGGUUUGAGCGGCUGUGGGACUGGCAGGUGAGAGAGAUUUGUCCUGACUGUGGGCCAGGCAGGAAAACUCUAGCUACACUUCUCAUUUCAUGUUGGCAACAAGUUCUAUAUGCCCAGCUAAUAGGGAGAUGCACAGUAAAUCUCCUUUAAGAUUCCAACUCACCCCAGUCAGAAUGGCCAUCACCAGGAUAAAUAACAAAUUCUGACAUGAAUAUGAUGAAUGUGACAGUAUUAUACACUGCUUGUGAGAGUGUAAACUAGAGAGGCCACUUUGGAAAACAGUCUACACAUUUCUCACCAAACUAGAAAUACAACUAUCAUAUACACUACACUGAAUUGUUGGCUAAAGGGGUCCCACGGAAAUUCCCAAACAAUCUAGGCUAUUAGCAAGAGAAUAGGUUGCUCUCCACAAACAAGAAAGGACUCAAUGCUGAAGAUAAGAUCUACACAACACAUUGAACAUGGAGAGGUCAAGUGGGUGCCUUCAUAGAACCUGCACCACUAUGUUCUAGUGUUCUUGCUAUGGUUAAGGUACAUUACAGGCUACUGGAACAGAAAUAUGAACACUGAACCAACCACAAAGCCUUUGAUCGACAAUCUGUUCUGCCUGCUAACUGUGCUUGAGCAACAGUGGCACAAAGCUUGUAGAAGAAACCAACCAAUGUCUGAAGUGACUUAGGGCCCAAACUCAGGAAACUGAAUCCAUACCUGACACUGCUCAGAUGACCAAGAACCAGAGUCCACAUAGCUAGAGACCUAUGGUAAAAACCAAAACACUUCUGGUCUAAACAACAACAACAAAAUAACUCCUAAUGAUAUGUUGCUGUACUGAUAGAUCUGUACUGUAUUCAGCCAUCAUCUGAGAAGCUUCCUCCUGCAGCAUAUGGGAACAAAUAGAGAGACUAAUAGCUAUACCUUAAGCAGAGAAGAGAGAUCUUGGAACACAGAGCUCUAAAUGGGUUGUCUCCUGCAAAUCCCACCUCUCAAAGCCCAGGGAACCUCAGAGAAGAGGAGGUAGAAAGAAUAUAAGAGACAGAAGGGAUGGAGGAUACCAGGAAAACAAGAUCUUUAAAUAAACUGAGCAAAGGCCAUAUGAACUCACAGAGAAUGAAGCAGCAAGCAGAGGUCCAACAUAGAUCUUCAUCAGAUCUGCUAUGUAUAUGUUGUAGCUUUCAAUUUAGUGUUUUUAUGGGACUCCUGAGUGUGUGAACCAGUGGCUCUCAAAUUCUUGUGCUUUCUCUUGGGGCUCUUUUGUUGUUGUGGUUUAUUUACCACAUCCAACUUUGAAGUGGUGGUUUUGUUUUAGCUUAUUAUAUUUUAUUUUGCUAAGUUUUGUUAUUGCCUUUUAUAAGCCCAUUCUUUUUUAAUGAGAGACAGAAAGGGAGUUGAUCUGGAUGGGAUGAAAGGUGGAGAGGACCUGGGAGGAGUAGAGGGAGGAGAAACUAUAAUCAGAAAAUAUUGCCUGAGAAAAGUAUCUAUUUUUAAUAAAAGGGAAAAUAGAAAAUGCUAUAUUUUAAAAAUUAAUGAAGUUCAUGAUGUCCCUUUAAGGUGAAAAUACCAAAAGAAAAAAUAACUAAAUGAAGUUUUUCUCAACUUAGGGAUAAAUAAACAUUUUUGUCUUCUAAAGAGUGUUUAUAAUAAUAAGUUCUCUAUAGACUAAGUUGUGUUCAAAAUAAUCCCUAAGCAAGGCUCAAUUGCAUGAAACCAUUCCUGAAGAUCCUUGAGCUGAUUGUGGACACCCUAUAUCAGACCUGGAAUUUCACUCUAUUUACUAGUUCUUUCUGGUUUGCAUGUGUGUAACACGUGAGCCCAAACCACAGAAUUUGUGCAAGGAGAGGCUGAGAAGUUGAGAUAUGGGAAUUCUGAGCAAUGAAUGGAUUAGAACACCAGCCCUCCCUGAUAAAAGCAAGGAUUUAGUUUGAAUUACAGCACCAUGGGAUGUGGGGCUUUGGAAAAGGCAUUCUAUACAGUGAAGGGAAAAGCAGUCUUUUGUGAAGUUUUUUUCUAAUAAAUCAUUACAUUUUUGUGUAGAGAAAUAAAUUUUUCCCAGACAUUGAAUCAUAAGGGUCCAACCAUGAGUUCAGUUGUCAUUCACUGAUGCAGCACAGUUGGGAGAAUAUGUGUCACUUACACAAUUUUAUAGCACAGUUCUGUUCUGUCUUCUGCAAUCUCCAAAGUACUUCAUUCUGUCUCUCUGUAUGUUAUAUCAAUGAAACCAUCUGAUUUGAGGCUAAAAUCUUGGAGCAGGGAGCCCAACAAUAUUUCAUUCUUUAACUGAUUUUUAGCCCAAUAACUAUGCAGUUGAUCAGUGUGUCUGUUUUUCCCAAUACUGUGCAGUUUUUAUUGCUGUAGCUUUGUAGGGCAAGAUCCCACAGUUCUGUUAUUAUUCAGGUUUGUUUUUUGGCUGUCCUGGGUUCUUGUGUUUCCAUAUGAAGCUGAAAAUUGUCCCUUUAAGAUCUGUUAAGAUGUCUGGCAGUGGUGGUGCAUGCCUUUAAUUCCAGUACUCUGGAAGUAAAGCAGGCUGAUCUCUGAGUUCAAGGCCAGCCUGAUCUACAAAGUGAGUUCCAGGAUAGCCAGGGCUACAAAGAGAUACCCUGUCUUAAAACACCAGAAGCAAAAAGAAAUACAUGAAGAAUUAUGUUGGGAUUUGAAUCUGUUGUUUGCUUUUGUUAGGAUGGUCAUGUUUCCUAUAUUAUUCCAAUCAAUCCAUGCACUGGACAUAUUUCCAUCUUCUGAAACCUUCAAUUUCUUUCUUUAAUGACUUGAACUUAUUUUCUGCUUUCUGAAGAAUCUCUUUCCCAUGUUCCGGUCUCCGAUUGCUCAGCCAGUCCUGCUCAACUGUGAAGCAGAACAAAGAGCCCUUGAUGGUGAAGAGAGAGGAGACAGUAGCAAAGGAUCCAGAAAAAAGAUGCCUUUGCCCACAACUAGCAGGAAGCAAUUUUGAGAACACGACGCCCACAUUCCCAAAGAGGUGGUGUGAGACAUGUCGGCUCUUGGCAGCACCAAUCUACUUCAGAGAAGAUAUGGGCAUUGAAGAAACUGCAUAUGGAGUUAACUUUCAUUGUGGCAAAAAUUAGCCACUGGACAACAAAGUGUCCUUGAAUUGUCUGCUGACAAACAGGACAAAAUGGACAGACAGGACAUGAAACAAAGGACUAACAACUCUUGCCAAGACAAGUGUGGUUGUGGCUUUAGCAAGAGGCAUUCUCUGAGGCUAGGACAAUAUGGCACCAUAGCUGAAGUGGCCUUUGCAAUCUGGAAAAGAUAUAGUGCCCCUUUUUUCAAAGGCAGCUGAAUAGGCCGUGGACCGAUGGCUUCUAGUGUUCAGUGGAACAGUAGCUGAAACAGUUAUUAUUGGAAGGGUAACUAUUCUGAUAAAGUCUAAUCUUUCAAUCUAGACUGACAUAUGUAUGGGUGGGGCUAACAAAUGAAGGGGGAUGGGAAGGAGAAGGGAGGCAUCAGGAGUUGCCAGCCAGAUGCAGAGGAAACAAGAUGAGAAUGCCAUACUUAGAAAAGCUACCAAGCCAUGAGGAUAAGCAUAGAUAGCAAUUAUGGGUUAAUUUAAGUGUAAGAGUUAGUUAGUAAUAAGCCUGACCUACUGGCUGAGCAUUUAUAAUUAAUAGAAGCCUCUCUGUUUUGGAAGUGGCUGCCAGGUAUUUGGGAGUUACUUGUGGAACAGAAACUUCUGCCUUCAGAUAACUCCAAAUGUGAUGGACUUUGUGAUCCUUGGAAAAAGACCAUAGACUCAACCCAACUAUAACCGAAAAAAAUUAUUGAUUUGCUGUUAACAAGGUGAAUGAUCUCUGAGCCAAAUUUGAGAUUGCUGUGUAGGAAAGGUAUUUGGAAUGGCAUUUAAAUAGGAAAAACACACAAAGACCCUCAAUAUCUAUGUAAGCAAGCAAAAACUGUUCCAUUAUGUCACAUUAAGAGGUUAAGUCAACUCAUAACAAUCUUUGAAUUCCCACACAAGCAAGUUAAGUAAGAAAAAGCUUUAGUCAUAUAAGAAUAAAUUGAUAGUCACAGCUGUAUAUUUUUUGGUGGUAGUUACAGAGUUAGGGUUACUAGGAAGUUAUCUUGUGGGGUCUGGUAUCAUAAACCAACAGUUGGUGGGUACCAACAUGGAUGCCCAGCAUAUAAUGGAGUUUCUUUAACCAUAACAUGUGUAGCUAUUUCUUGGAGACUGAACAUUUCAUACUGAUGAGCAACUGAUUAAGACAGUAAAUAAAUCUUUGAGAAUAACUUCAAGAAGUCCCUGAGUCUGACAGGAUUCACUAUAUUUAACUCCCAUGAAGAAAUUCACACCAAUCAUGCUAGUUAUACCAGGCUUCAACCAACUGAGUUAAGCUAGAACACCCUUUAAUGUGUGGGUAUGCCAGCAAGUGUACAUCAUGUUCCAGGUGCACAGUGUCCAUAUUCUAUGUCCCAUGCCAUGUUGAAGUUUCAUGAUGGCAAUUAUCUUUGAGUUCCUUUGGUCCCUGUAAACAGUUCCUUCCCCAUAUUCCUAUAUGUAAUCCCAAUAAAGCUCAUUUGUUAAACAAGA